GAUGAACGCUAGCUACAGGCUUAACACAUGCAAGUCGAGGGGUAACGAGAGGAAAGCUUGCUUUCCUUGUCGACGACCGGCGCACGGGUGAGUAACGCGUAUCCAACCUGCCCCCAACUAGGGAAUAACCUUGCGAAAGUAAGACUAAUACCCUAUAAUUUCCUCAGAUGACAUCUGACGAGGAAUAAAGAUUUAUCGGUUGCGGAUGGGGAUGCGUCUGAUUAGCUUGUUGGCGGGGUAACGGCCCACCAAGGCAACGAUCAGUAGGGGUGCUGAGAGGAAGGUCCCCCACAUUGGAACUGAGACACGGUCCAAACUCCUACGGGAGGCAGCAGUGAGGAAUAUUGGUCAAUGGGCGGAAGCCUGAACCAGCCAAGUAGCGUGCAGGAUGACGGCCCUAUGGGUUGUAAACUGCUUUUAUACAGGAAUAAAGUUAGCCACGUGUGGUUAUUUGUAGGUACUGUAUGAAUAAGGACCGGCUAAUUCCGUGCCAGCCGCCGCAGUAA
rnacentral:rRNA from 1 species